rnacentral:pre_miRNA from 15 species
CCCAGACCGGUGACCUCUCUGACAAGGUGCAGAGCUUAGCUGAUUGGUGAACAGUGAUUGGUUUCCACCUUGUUCACAGUGGCUAAGUUCUGCACCUGAAGAGAAGGUGAGAUGGGGACAGUU